GCGCUUGUCGUAUAACUGGUAGUACGUCUAGCUGAUAACUGAAAACCCCGAGUUCAAAUCCCGGCGAACGCA
rnacentral:tRNA from 1 species